rnacentral:rRNA from 1 species
UUCCUCUUAGAUAAAGAGGUAAGGCCUGCUCACUGAUUAAUUAAAGAGCCGCAGUAUCCUAACUGUGCUAAGGUAGCAUAAUCAUUAGUCUUUUAAUUGGAGACUGGUAUGAAUGGCUAAACGAAAAAUUAACUUUUUUUGUCAUGAAUAUUGAAUUUAAUUUUUUAGUGAAAAAGCUAAAAUAAGUUAGAAAGACGAGAAGACCCUAUAGAGUUUUAUAUUAAGAUAAAUUUUUUCUUAUUAGAUUUUUAUAGAUAAAGUUUAAAAUAGUAUUUUGUUGGGGCGACAUUAAGAUAAACAAAACUCUUUAUUUUAAAAAUUUUAAUUAAAAUAUAGUUUGACCCUUUUAAAAAGAUCAAAAGAAAAAAUUACCUUAGGGAUAACAGCGUAAUCUUUUUUGAGAGUUCUAAUCGACAAAAAGGUUUGCGACCUCGAUGUUGGACUAAAAUUUAGGCAGGGUGCAGCAGUUCUGCUUUAAGGUCUGUUCGACCUAUAAUAUUUUACACGAUCUGAGUUCAGACCGGCGUAAG